CCAAGCACAACGUGUUUCAACUUAUCAGUCUUAAUUUGUGCAUAAUUUCCUUCAAAUACAGGCCGGUAAAAAAGUAUCCCAAGUGGAAAUCAAACUUUGCCUCAUUUUCUGGCGUUUUUUCCGACCCUUCUUACGGGGCUUCAGUGUUCCGGAAAGUCCUCUGGUAGUGCGCAUCCCCUGCACUUUUGUUCCAAGAUCCCCCCACCCACACCCCUCAUAGGAUGGAUUAUGUUAAUAAAUGUCUGUGUAUUAUCAGAUGGAUGUCUGGUGGGUACAGAACCCACUUGAUUAGAA